UACGUAGGUGGCGAGCGUUGUCCGGAUUUAUUGGGUUUAAAGGGUGCGUAGGCGGCUUAUUAAGUCAGUGCUGAAAUACCCCGGCUUAACCGGGGGGGUGGCAUUGAUACUGAUGAGCUUGAGUACAGACGAGGUAGGCGGAAUCGACGGUGUAGCGGUGAAAUGCAUAGAUAUCGUCAAGAACACCGAUAGCGAAGGCAGCUUACUAGGCUGUAACUGACGCUGAUGCACGAAAGUGUGGGGAUCAAACAGG
rnacentral:rRNA from 1 species